rnacentral:lncRNA from 1 species
CUGGUCUGGGAGAGCCGAGGGGUUUUGCUACAGAACCCCCUCACUGGCCAGGAAUAUCCCAUGGAAGAGGCUGGACUUGCAGCAGCUCUGCCCUUCUUUGGGUAGUGCAAAGAAAUAUUUGCAUGAGUAAAUCAAAGUUGUGUUUUGAAAGACUGGAAUUAAAGGGUAGGAAUUCCUCCAAAGCCAUUCUCCUGCCCUUGCUAAAUGCUUCCUGGAAUUAGGAUUUGUCUCCAAAGAUCUGAAUCCCAUCCCACCAAGGAGCCAGAGCUGCCAGAGCAGCAGGACAGGCGGGAUCUCCCCUCCCCAGCUCCACACAGGCAGGCUGUGCCCACUAAGGGUUAAAACCUUUCCUCUGGCAAUUCGAGGUCUGCGGGUAAUUUCCCCAUCUGGAGGGUGCUUUCAAGAGGAGCUGGCCCCUGGAGGGUGCUCGGGGACGGAGCCUCAGCUCAGACCUGCAGGGAGUCACCUGCCUGGGGACAAGGAACCGGGGAAUAGAGAACGGUCCCAGCUCCAGAGGGAGCAGCAGGACGAGCCUGGGGAACUGCCCGGGUUCCACACCAAGGAAAGACCUUACUAGUGUGGGAAGCUCGAGGGGUCCCCGGGGAGGAAGGGACACAACCCCCAGCCCGGCAGAGGAAAACGCGGUGGCUCUUGGGUUUUAAUUGGGAUUCCUGAGCAAGGAGAAGGUGGGAUGGGAUGGGAUGGGAUGGG